GAUGAACGCUGGCGGCGUGCCUAAUACAUGCAAGUCGAGCGAACAGACGAGGAGCUUGCUCCUCUGACGUUAGCGGCGGACGGGUGAGUAACACGUGGAUAACCUACCUAUAAGACUGGGAUAACUUCGGGAAACCGGAGCUAAUACCGGAUAAUAUAUUGAACCGCAUGGUUCAAUAGUGAAAGACGGUUUUGCUGUCACUUAUAGAUGGAUCCGCGCCGCAUUAGCUAGUUGGUAAGGUAACGGCUUACCAAGGCAACGAUGCGUAGCCGACCUGAGAGGGUGAUCGGCCACACUGGAACUGAGACACGGUCCGGACUCCUACGGGAGGCAGCAGUAGGGAAUCUUCCGCAAUGGGCGAAAGCUUGUCGGAGCAACGCCGCGUGAGUGAUGAAGGUCUUCGGAUCGUAAAACUCUGUUAUUAGGGAAGAACAAAUGUGUAAGUAACUAUGCACGUCUUGACGGUACCUAAUCAGAAAGCCACGGCUAACUACGUG
rnacentral:rRNA from 1 species